GAGGAUAGACAUUUAGGAGGGAGAGUGACGUAGGUGAGAAUCCAGUGAGCCAUCUCACAAGUGUGAAGAUUGGUCAAGGCCUGGGGAUAGAUGGCUUGGGUGAGAAGUAUAAUGAGAAAUGGGGGAGAGAGAGGAGGAUGUCUGUAAAGAGUUCACUGUAUGUGCUACAACUGAACAUAGUACCUACCCCUGAUAGCAGUCUGGGGGU
rnacentral:lncRNA from 1 species